rnacentral:rRNA from 1 species
UACAGAGGGUGCGAGCGUUAAUCGGAAUUACUGGGCGUAAAGCGUGCGUAGACGGCUAUAUAAGUCGGGUGUGAAAGCCCCGGGCUCAACCUGGGAAUUGCAUUCGAGACUGAAUAGCUAGGGUGCGGUAGAGGGAAGCGGAAUUUCCGGUGUAGCGGUGAAAUGCGUAGAUAUCGGAAGGAACAUCAGUGGCGAAAGCGGCUUCCUGGACCAGCACCGACGUUCAGGCACGAAAGCGUGGGGAGCAAACAGG